UGGGGAAUAUUGCACAAUGGGCGCAAGCCUGAUGCAGCCAUGCCGCGUGUGUGAAGAAGGCCUUCGGGUUGUAAAGCACUUUUGGCAGGAAAGAAACGUCGCGGGUUAAUACCCCGCGAAACUGACGGUACCUGCAGAAUAAGCACCGGCUAACUACGUGCCAGCAGCCGCGGUAAUACGUAGGGUGCAAGCGUUAAUCGGAAUUACUGGGCGUAAAGCGUGCGCAGGCGGUUCGGAAAGAAAGAUGUGAAAUCCCAGAGCUUAACUUUUGGAACUGCUUUUUAACUACCGGGCUAGAGUGUGUCAGAGGGAGGUGGAAUUUCCGCGUGUAGCAGUGAAAUGCGUAGAUAUGCGGAGGAACACCGAUGGCGAAGGCAGCCUCCUGGGAUAACACUGACGCUCAUGCACGAAAGCGUGGGGAGCAAACAGGAUUAGAUACCCUGGUAGUCCACGCCCUAAAACGAUGUCAACUAGCUGUUGGGGCCCUUCGGGCCUUGGUAGCGCACUAACGCGUGAAGUUGACCGCCUGGGGAGUACGGUCGCAAGAUUAAAACUCAAAUGAUUGACGGGGUCAUAG
rnacentral:rRNA from 1 species